GACGAACGCUGGCGGCGUGCUUAACACAUGCAAGUCGAACGGAAAGGCCCUGCUUUUGUGGGGUGCUCGAGUGGCGAACGGGUGAGUAACACGUGAGUAACCUGCCCUUGACUUUGGGAUAACUUCAGGAAACUGGGGCUAAUACCGGAUAGGAGCUCCUGCUGCAUGGUGGGGGUUGGAAAGUUUCGGCGGUUGGGGAUGGACUCGCGGCUUAUCGGCUUGUUGGUGGGGUAGUGGCUUACCAAGGCUUUGACGGGUAGCCGGCCUGGGAGGGUGACCGGCGACAUUGGGACUGAGAUACGGCGCAGACUCCUACGGGAGGCAACGGUGGGGAGUAUUGCACAGUAGGCGGAAGCCAGAUGCAGCAACGCCGCGUGCGGGAUGACGGGCUUCGGGUUGUGAACCAAUUUCGCCUGUGACGAAGCGUGAGUGACGGUAAUGGGUAAAGAAGCACCGGCUAACUACGUG
rnacentral:rRNA from 1 species